CGCAGAGGCGGCUUCCGUCGCCGCUUGGGCGGGGAUGCUGAGUCUCUGGAGAGGGCUGAGGCACCUUAGGGAGGGGCCAGGUGCUCGGGGUUUGGUGCGACUACCUCUCGGCGCUAAGAUGCCUAAGAAAGCUGGUGCGGCAAGCAAGGCGAGGGGCGAGUCCCGCGGUGCCGAGAAGGGUAAAAAUCAGAGCAAAGAACCAGAGAGAGUACCUCUUCCAUUAGGUCCUGUGGCAGUUGAUGCCAAAGGCUGUGUCACCAUAGCCAUCCACGCCAAGCCUGGCUCCAAACAAAGUGCUGUGACAGAUCUGACCAGUGAAGCUGUAAACAUAGCAAUUGCAGCCCCUCCGACAGAGGGAGAGGCCAACACUGAGCUCUGUCGAUAUCUUUCCAAGGUCUUAGAACUCAGGAAGAGCGAUGUAGUGUUAGAUAAGGGAUCGAACUCACGACCGCCUGCUUGCAAGGCAGGUGCUUAUGCUACUGAGCUAAAUCCCCAGCCGUAGUGAACAGCCAUUUCUAAGAGAGAGAAGCAACCAGAACUGCACCAGGAACUUUACUGGAACUAUUAUCCAGAUCCUUUGACUCCUCAUUGAAUGAAGUUAUCCUCACAGUAAACUAAGAAACUGAAGUAUACUGGGUGGGGGACCAUUUUCUGUUACAAUAGCAGCUGGGGUGGUAAAUCUCGUGAAAAGGUGGUGAAGCUUUUGGCCUCUACAACGCCCGAAGAGAUCUUGGAAAAAUUAAAAAAGGAAGCAGAAAAAGAAUAAAAGCAAGAAAUGAAAAGUACAUUCUCGGAGGACUUUUUUAUAACUAAUGAUGAAGAGACUGCUAAAUAGGAAAAUAUGUUUAAAUAUACAAAGAACAGAAGAUAUAUUUAUAUACAUAUGUGAAUCAAACACAAAACAUAGCCAUUUUUAAAGUACUAUCAUUGAGUAUAGGUUCUAAAAUCCCUGACCCCAAACAGCCUGAACCUUGUUCCUCUGAUUUCAUGUUAUAGAAACUGAUUGGAUUCCUUGCAAACCACUGUGGUGGAGCUUCUGAUACCUAGAAGCCAGGAGACUUACCAGAAUCACACUGUGUAAGACCUAGGAUCCAGAUCCUCUGAUUCCUCAUUGAAUGAAGUUAUCCUGACAGUAAACUAAAAUGAUAAUAUUUCCACAUCGUUUCUGGAACUCUGGGAAUUGCCUUCUAAUCCAGUGAACAAGUGACAGGAAAAAUCCAUUGUAUUGCUUUUAGUCUUGUAUUUAAAGAUGUUUAUCUAAGAGCAAAAAUGAUUUUUUUUUUUUUUUGUCUUUUUCCUUAUUAUCGGUACCUGGGAUUGAACUCACGGCUGCCUGCUUGCAAGGCAGGUACUUAUGCCGCUGAGCUAAAUCUCCAGCCCCAGCAAAAAUGAUUUUUAAGUCUUUUAAAGGUUACACAGUGUUUUGUUUUGUUUUGUUUUGGUGGUACUGGGGAUUGAACCCAAGGUUUUCACACUGAGCUACAUUCCCAGCCCUUUUUUUAUUUUGAGGUAGUCUUGCUAAGUUGCUCAGGCUGGGCUGGAACUUAGGAUCCUGCUUGUUACAGCCUCCUAGAAUGCUAGGAUUACAGGCAUGUACCAAAUCCCUGACUAAACUACAUGGACUGUUUUCUGAAAAAAUAAAUAAAAAUAAUCAAGACUUGUAGUUUAA